rnacentral:rRNA from 1 species
UACAGAGGGGGCAAGCGUUGUUCGGAAUUACUGGGCGUAAAGGGCGCGUAGGCGGCCCGCUAAGUCGAACGUGAAAUCCCCGAGCUCAACUCGGGAACUGCGUCCGAUACUGGCGGGCUUGAAUCCGGGAGAGGGAUGCGGAAUUCCAGGUGUAGCGGUGAAAUGCGUAGAUAUCUGGAGGAACACCGGUGGCGAAGGCGGCAUCCUGGACCGACACUGACGCUGAUGCGCGAAAGCCAGGGGAGCAAACGGG